UUUCAGUCAAUAUCAACCAUCAAACAUACAAGGUUUCAGUCAUUAUCAACCAUCAAACAUACAAGGUUUCAGUCAUUAUCAACCAUCAAACAUACAAGGUUUCAGUCAUUAUCAAUUAUUAAACAUACAAGGUUUCAGUCAAUAUCAACCAUCAAACAUUCAAGGUUUCAGUCAUUAUCAACCAUUAAACAUACAAGGUUUCAGUCAAUAUCAACCAUCAAACAUACAAGGUUUCAGUCAUUAUCAAUCAUCAAACAUACAAGGUUUCAGUCAUUAUCAACCAUCAAACAUACAAGGUUUCAGUCAAUAUCAACCAUCAAACAUACAAGGUUUCAGUCAUUAUCAGCCAUCAAACAUACAUGGUUUCAGUCAAUAUCAACCAUCAAACAUACAAGUAAAGAUGCAGUUUUCAAAGCAGAGCUAUUUAUCCACUAGGAGAGGACCAAACGGAACUUGUAACAAAACACCUGUCAUGUUAUUGAGACUUCCCAUUGGCCAAUCAUGAAAGUCCCAGUUCUGUUCUGCUGCAGGACUAAUUCUGGUACACCUUGGGCCAGGACUUUCUAGACUCUGAGGAGGGGUAAGUUAAAAAGUAAACUGAUUUCCCUAAUAAUUGUCUACAUAGUUAACUGCUGUAGAUGCAUUCAGCUAUUUCUGCCAAACAUAUAGAUUUUGAAUCUUUGUAAUAUGACGCUGCUCAUAAAG